rnacentral:rRNA from 1 species
CCAAUAGCGUAUAUUAAAGUUGUUGCAGUUAAAAAGCUCGUAGUUGAAUUUCGGGGUUCUACCGUUGGUCGGGCAAUAGUCUGUACUGGCGUGUAGAAUUUCUACCUUCUGGGGAACUAUCAUGUUAUUUAUUUAGCGUGGUGGGAAACCAGGACCUUUACCUUGAAAAAAUUAGAGUGUUCACAGCAGGCUUAUGUCUGAAUACAUUAGCAUGGAAUAAUAAAAUAGGACGUUGGUCCCGUUUUGUUGGUUUCUGAAUCACCGUAAUGAUUAAUAGGGAUAGUUGGGGGCAUUAGUAUUCAAUUGUCAGAGGUGAAAUUCUUGGAUUUAUUGAAGACUAACUUCUGCGAAAGCAUUUGCCAAGGAUUUUUUCAUUAAUCAAGAACGAAAGUGAGGGGAUCGAAGACGAUCAGAUACCGUCGUAUUCUUAACCAUAAACUAUGCCGACUAGGGAUCGAACGAUGUUAAUUUUUCUUGACUCGUUCGGCGCCUUACG